UGGGGAAUUUUGGACAAUGGGCGAAAGCCUGAUCCAGCAAUGCCGCGUGUGUGAAGAAGGCCUUCGGGUUGUAAAGCACUUUUGUCCGGAAAGAAAUCCUUGGCUCUAAUACAGUCGGGGGACGACGGUACCGGAAGAAUAAGCACCGGCUAACUACGUGCCAGCAGCCGCGGUAAUACGUAGGGUGCAAGCGUUAAUCGGAAUUACUGGGCGUAAAGCGUGCGCAGGCGGUUUGCUAAGACCGAUGUGAAAUCCCCGGGCUCAACCUGGGAACUGCAUUGGUGACUGGCAGGCUAGAGUAUGGCAGAGGGGGGUAGAAUUCCACGUGUAGCAGUGAAAUGCGUAGAGAUGUGGAGGAAUACCGAUGGCGAAGGCAGCCCCCUGGGCCAAUACUGACGCUCAUGCACGAAAGCGUGGGGAGCAAACAGGAUUAGAUACCCUGGUAGUCCACGCCCUAAACGAUGUCAACUAGUUGUUGGGGAUUCAUUUCCUUAGUAACGUAGCUAACGCGUGAAGUUGACCGCCUGGGGAGUACGGUCGCAAGAUUAAAACUCAAAGGAAUUGACGGGGUCAUA
rnacentral:rRNA from 1 species